AACAACAUUGCCAUUCAUCUAAAACAAUCAAAAUCUUUACAUGCAAGUGCCAUCACAAGGACUUUUCCAAGGCUUGUAUUGAGGUUGGGCUACCAAGAAAAAUUGGUUUUUCUGGAAUGCAAAAUCCUUGAGUUAAGAGAGAAAUCAUAUUGUUCAAACUUUAAGCACAACUCUCUUCCUUACAAAUCUCACUUAUUCCUAACUUCUUCCCUUUUCUUUUACAUUGAGCUCAUUUUCAUGCUUUUCUUCUUUUCUGUUCUUUUUCUCAUGCAUUUUUCUUUCUCAACAUUUGAGCUCAAUGCUUUACAAUUGCUUUUCAAUUUCCCCCAUACAACCCCAAACUUGAACCUUUUCCACACAUACAGUUAAGC
rnacentral:lncRNA from 1 species